rnacentral:misc_RNA from 1 species
UCUCCGUUGGCGAACCAGCGGAGGGAUCAUUACAGGACUCGCAAGACUCCUACACCCCUGUGAACUUAACUAUAAGCACGUUGCUUCGGCGGGUGUCUCGGAGGGGGUUCUCCCUCCCCGAGACGCUAAACCCGCCGGCAGCCUACUAUACUCUGUCUCUUUGAGUUGGCAUCUCGAGUACAAUCAAAUAAGUUAAAACUUUCAACAACGGAUCUCUUGGUUCUG